CCCAACUUGGCUGCUUUGUAAGAAGUGGACUUCUGCCUCCUCAGCCUAACCUGAAGAAUAGAACCAGCUUCUUUCGUGGCAAUUUUCCCCCAGGAGGGAUUUCCCUGCAGUGGACCUCCUCCCCAGUGGUACCUUCAGCCAUCAGAACACCUCGCUUUAGAUCUGUGGGUCCCAAAUUUCAUCAAAUCCAAUGACCAUUUCUAUGUCCUUAGUAAUUGGUGGCAACCUGGUGGAGAGGGAAGACCACAGGCUGUGGAGUUGGACCUGGGUUUGAAGAUUGGCUUUGCAUGCCUAGCAGGAUGUAAGCUUGGCCCACUGACUUCACUUCUGAGCCUUGUUCUCCAUGUCUGUCAAGUGCAGGGGAAGGAUCACUCAUUCUGGGGGCAGCCCUCUGGCAUGUAAUGAGCAGUCCUAUGGAGAGGCCCAUGUGACAGUAGCCAUGCGAGUGACACUGGAAGUGAAACCUGCAGCUCCAGUCAAGCCUUUAGAAGACUGCAGCCCUGGCUGACAGCUUGACAGCAAACUCAUGAGAGACUCUCAGCUUGAACAACUCAGCUAAACUGUUCCUGGGUUCCUGGUCCUCAAAAACUCUGGAAUUCUGUGAAGCACAUGACCUCAAGUCUUUGGAUAAAUGGAAACGCAGCUUAUGCCGGAAAGAUGGAAGGCUGGCUGUACUAAUAUCAGAAAUGGAAGAGGAGAGACAUCACUAGAGAUCCCAUGGAUAUUGAAAGGAUAAUAAAGGAGUAUUAUGAGCAUUGU
rnacentral:lncRNA from 1 species